GACCACAGGAACAGUGUCUGGUUUGGUGUCUGAAGAGAUGUAUCCCCAGGAUCUCUGCAUGCUGGUAACUGAAAUCCAAUCAUCAGGAAUCCCAGUGCAGCAGGAUGUUAGAGAAAAUAAACAAGUUCAAUUCCACCAAACGUUGGUGAAUGAUGGCCCAAUCAGCCUGUACUUCCUUGCUCUCCUGCUGCAAUGGCAUCAACUUCUUCUUUAUAAGAUUCUCCUCCAUCAGGAGCCGGCUGUGCAGGUUACUGUAAGGACACUCUGCAUUGUACAGGGGAUGAUGUCUGUCUGAGAGCCACUGUAGGUAGAUGAAUACAAGAUUAUUUGAUGUGAGAAUGCAAAGAGUGUAGACUGACCACAGAGAAGGAAAAAUGCCUGUAACCUAGUGAUACCACCAAGAGAUUGGUCCCAGCAUGAAAUUUCUUCUCAGUGGAUAUCAAUUCUAACAUCACUCUAGAGAUAUCAGGAGAUGUAAGCAGACAUAUGUUUCCUCUGUCUCCCUAAACAUAGAUAUGAUAACCAGAGAGAUGUCUUCUCCAGGAUGAUUAUCAACAGCACAAAGUCCAACUUGGCUUCAGAACCUUGAGUUGAGACUUUACAAGUCAGAUGAUAGAUUCACCAUUCAAAAGUAUUUGAGAUUUUGGAGAUGCUCAGAUAUCCUACCUGUUACUCUAAGCCAAGGAAUUGGCUUAAAAAUCAUGCAGGGGGAAAACAUGGUCAACACAAUGAUCAAUUCCUCCCCCCCCACCCCCGAAACACCAAACACCCCAGAAGUAGCAAUAGAAUCCCCCUCUGUCUGGGUGUAUCAACUGAUAGUUCUUUGUUUACAGCACAGAAAUGCCUGCCAACCACAAUUGGUGAUAAAGAAAGGUAAGGUAGGAACUGUCACAAACAGGAGGUCAGAGUAGUUCUGAGAACAUGAGGUCAUGGUCUGGAGCACCAUUCUCUCCCUGUCACUAAUGUCAGAUAACUACAGGAGCUAAAAGGAGCCAUGGACUGAAGUGCAGGAUUUCCCUCCCCCAAACUGGCAUUGCUUAGACCCGCUGUCACUCCUGAUGGUCUCAUUCUGUCCCCAUGUAACACCCACAAUACCCAGUGCAAGUAAAGACUUGAAGUUC